rnacentral:rRNA from 1 species
UCCAGACUCCUACGGGAGGCAGCAGUGGGGGAUAUUGCACAAUGGGGGGAACCCUGAUGCAGCGACGCCGCGUGGGUGAAGGAGCGUUUCGGCGCGUAAAGCCCUAUCGGCAGGGAAGAAGGAGGACGGUACCUGACUAAGAAGCCCCGGCUAACUACGUGCCAGCAGCCGCGGUAAUACGUAGGGGGCAAGCGUUAUCCGGAUUUACUGGGUGUAAAGGGGGCGCAGACGGCAGCGCAAGCCAGGAGUGAAAGCCCGGGGCCCAACCCCGGGACUGCUCUUGGAACUGCGCGGCUGGAGUGCAGGAGGGGCAGGCGGAAUUCCUGGUGUAGCGGUGAAAUGCGUAGAUAUCAGGAGGAACACCGGUGGCGAAGGCGGCCUGCUGGACUGCGACUGACGUUGAGGCCCGAAAGCGUGGGGAGCAAACAGGAUUAGAUACCCGGGUACC